UACGUAGGGGGCCAGCGUUGUCCGGAUUUACUGGGCGUAAAGCGCACGUAGGCGGAUCGUUAAGUCGGGGGUGAAAUCCUGGAGCUCAACUCCAGAACUGCCUUCGAUACUGGCGAUCUAGAGUCCGGAAGAGGUGAGUGGAACUCCUAGUGUAGAGGUGGAAUUCGUAGAUAUUCGCAAGAACACCAGUGGCGAAGGCGGCCAACUGGUCCACUACUGACGCUGAGGUGCGAAAGCGUGGGGAGCAAACAGG
rnacentral:rRNA from 1 species